UUUUUUUUUUUUUAAUUUGUUUUGUUUUAAAAUAAGUUAAAGGCAGUCCAGAGCUUUUCAGCCAAUUUGUCUCCUACUCUGUGUAAAUAUUUUUCCCUCCGGGCAGGGGAGCCAGGGUAGAGCAAAGGAGACAAAGCAGGAGUGGAAGGUGAGGCGUUCUCCUGCUUGUACUAAGCCAGGAGGCUUUAAGCUCCAGCUUUAAGGGUUGUGAGCCCCUUGGGGGUUCAGGGAACUGCUUGCCCAGGGUGCAGUGUGAGUGUGAUGGGCCACCGGGGCAAGAGGGAAGGUGACCGCCCAGCUCUCCCACAUCCCACUGGAUCUGGCUUACAGGGGGGUCGGAAGCCUGUCCUCACCGUCUCGGGGGUUGUGGCCCCCGCCCCCUCCCUAUAUGCACCCCUGGAACCAGCAAGUCCCAGACAAGGAGAGCGGAGGAGGAAGUCAUGGGAACGCAGCCUCCAGUUGUAGCAGGUUUCACUAUUCCUAUGCUGGGGUACACAGUGAGAGUACUCACUUUUCACUUGUCUUGCUCUUAGAUUGGGCCAUGGCUUUCAUCCUGUGUCCCCUGACCUGUCCAGGUGAGUGUGAGGGCAGCACUGGGAAGCUGGAGUGCUGCUUGUGCCUCCCUUCCCAGUGGGCUGUGUUGACUGCUGCUCCCCACCCCUACCGAUGGUCCCAGGAAGCAGGGAGAGUUGGGGAAGGCAAGAUUGGAAAGACAGGAAGACCAAGGCCUCGGCAGAACUCUCUGUCUUCUCUCCACUUCUGGUCCCCUGUGGUGAUGUGCCUGUAAUCUUUUUCUCCACCCAAACCCCUUCCCACGACAAAAACAAGACUGCCUCCCUCUCUUCCGGGAGCUGGUGACAGCCUUGGGCCUUUCAGUCCCAAAGCGGCCGAUGGGAGUCUCCCUCCGACUCCAGAUAUGAACAGGGCCCAGGCCUGGAGCGUUUGCUGUGCCAGGAGGCGGCAGCUCUUCUGGGCAGAGCCUGUCCCCGCCUUCCCUCACUCUUCCUCAUCCUGCUUCUCUUUUCCUCGCAGAUGAUAAAAGGAAUCUGGCAUUCUACACCUGGACCAUUUGAUUGUUUUAUUUUGGAAUUGGUGUAUAUCAUGAAGCCUUGCUGAACUAAGUUUUGUGUGUAUAUAUUUAAAAAAAAAAUCAGUGUUUAAAUAAAGACCUAUGUACUUAAUCCUUUAACUCUGCGGAUAGCAUUUGGUAGGUAGUGAUUAACUGUGAAUAAUAAAUACACAAUGAAUUCUU
rnacentral:lncRNA from 10 species